GAUUUGAUUUCUUUCUUGAAGUUUUCUGUUAUUCGCGAGAUUGAUGGUCUUACUAUGUUUUCUGCUACAAUUUCUUGAAUGGAUGCUUACUGUUUUAGCUCCUUUUACGUUGUUCGACUCUGACGUCGAUCUGCUUUACCCCUAGAAAUAUAUAUAUUGGCGUUUGAAAGAAACUGACUGUUUGUGCUAAUUCAGACUAAUCGGAUAUGCUUGCAGGGUUCUAGGGAAAAUAAAAAAUAGAAAGAAAAUCAGUGAUAAUCUAUCUGGUUUGAUCGAUAUCAGUUAAGAGAUCAUGAUACCAUCUUAGCCAUAACACCAGGCAAAAGAAGUGUUGUGAAUGCUUGGUGAUUUAUAAUAACAGGAAACAUAGGAUGAAGCACAAAAUGCAGACAAAAUUAUAUGAUCAUUUGGUGUUCAUUGGUAUGUUGUGAGAUCCCACGUCGGUUGGGGAGGAGAACGAAGCCUUCUUUAUAAGGGUGUGGAAACGUCUCCCAGCAUAUGCUUUUUAAAGAGGACCAUAUCUGCUAGAGAUGGGCUUAGACCGUUAUAUAUGUAUUAGAUUAUGCUUUGUGCCAUCAAUCUUUCUUGCGAAUGCCAAUAGGUAGAUUUAUGGUAGAACAGUUGAUCCAACUUAGUCUUAAUCUACUUUUUUGAGGCAUUUGAUUCCUGGUUUGAGAAGUUCGGAUUUAUGUUGAUUGUUGAUACAUUGGAUUGCUUGUCUUAGAGAUAAACUGUUUGAUAAUCAAUGAAAUGAUACUUUUACUCUUGAAA